rnacentral:rRNA from 1 species
UAUGUAGGGUGCGAGCGUUGUCCGGAAUUAUUGGGCGUAAAGAGUUCGUAGGCGGUUAUCUAAGUCUGGUGUUAAAGCCCGAAGCUCAACUUCGGCAUGGCAUUGGAAACUGGAUGGCUAGAGUGUGGUAGAGGUCUCGGGAAUUCCUGGUGUAGCGGUGAAAUGCGUAGAUAUCAGGAGGAACACCGGUGGCGAAAGCGCGAGACUGGGCCAUAACUGACGCUGAGGAACGAAAGCGUGGGGAGCGAACAGG